ACGACCUUACUUGAACAGGAUCUGUUCUAUAGGAUCGUACCGCUACAUCCUUGACUAACAAGGAGGCCAGCACUUAAACCUGGUUGAUGACAUGAGACCCGAAAAUCGUACGAGAAACAUCAUAAUAAAUAAUCGGUCAUGGUU
rfam:Brachypodium distachyon strain Bd21 chromosome 2, whole genome shotgun sequence.